UACGUAGGGGGCUAGCGUUGUCCGGAAUCAUUGGGCGUAAAGAGCGUGUAGGCGGCCCGGUAAGUCCGCUGUGAAAGUCGGGGGCUCAACCCUCGAAUGCCGGUGGAUACUGUCGGGCUAGAGUGCGGAAGAGGCGAGUGGAAUUCCUGGUGUAGCGGUGAAAUGCGCAGAUAUCGUAAGGAAGACCAGUGGCGAAGGCGGGUCUCUGGACAGUUCCUGACGCUGAGGGCACGAAGGUCAGGGGAGCAAACGGGGAUU
rnacentral:rRNA from 1 species